AUUGAACGCUGGCGGAAUGCUUUACACAUGCAAGUCGAACGGCAGCAUAGGUGCUUGCACCUGAUGGCGAGUGGCGAACGGGUGAGUAAUACAUCGGAACGUGCCCAGUCGUGGGGGAUAACGUAGCGAAAGUUACGCUAAUACCGCAUACGAUCUAAGGAUGAAAGCGGGGGACCGUAAGGCCUCACGCGAUUGGAGCGGCCGAUGUCAGAUUAGGUAGUUGGUGAGGUAAAGGCUCACCAAGCCGACGAUCUGUAGCUGGUCUGAGAGGACAACCAGCCACACUGGGUCUUAGACACGGCCCAGACUCCUCCGGGAGGCAGCAGUGGGGAAUUUUGGACAAUGGACGCAAGUCUGAUCCAGCCAUUCCGCGUGCAGGACGAAGGCCUUCGGGUUGUAAACUGCUUUUGUACGGAACGAAAAAGCUCUUACUAAUACUAGGAGUCCAUGACGGUACCGUAAGAAUAAGCACCGGCUAACUACGUGCCAGCAGCCGCCGUAA
rnacentral:rRNA from 1 species